rnacentral:pre_miRNA from 13 species
CCGGUCUUCACCCAGUGGCAGAUCUCACUGGGGCCUCCAAAUGUUGUAACCAAGCAAGUUAUAGAGAAACGCGACACUCUGAGACUAAUUCAGGAGUCCUUUUAUUG